rnacentral:pre_miRNA from 1 species
UGCUCAUAGCUCUCUGAAAGGUUCUACUUUCUAGGCUGAAAUUUUCCAUCAUUGGUCUCAGCCAAAAAGUGAAUUUUAUGGGAAAGUUUGAGG